CCACAAACUAAUAAAUUAACCAGAAUCUCCUGUUAACAACUGCAAAAUGCCAUUUUCUUCAUCACCUCACACGCCACUCAAAACAUGUGCGGCGUUAGGAG